rnacentral:rRNA from 1 species
UUGGAGGGCAAGUCUGGUGCCAGCAGCCGCGGUAAUUCCAGCUCCAAUAGCGUAUAUUAAAGUUGUUGCAGUUAAAAAGCUCGUAGUUGAAUUUCGGGAUCAUCAGGUUGGUCGUGCCUCUGGUAUGUACUUUCCUCGAUGGUUCCUCCUUCUUGAAGAACCGUAAUGCCAUUAAUUUGGUGUUGCGGGGAAUCAGGACUGUUACUUUGAAAAAAUUAGAGUGUUUAAAGCAGGCAAUCGCUUGAAUACAUUAGCAUGGAAUAAUGAAAUAGGACGUUCGAUCCUAUUUUGUUGGUUUCUAGGAUCGACGUAAUGAUUAAUAGGGAUAGUUGGGGGCAUUAGUAUUCAAUUGUCAGAGGUGAAAUUCUUGGAUUUAUUGAAGACUAACUACUGCGAAAGCAUUUGCCAAGGAUGUUUUCAUUAAUCAAGAACGAAAGUUAGGGGAUCGAAGACGAUCAGAUACCGUCGUAGUCUUAACCAUAAACUAUGCCGACUAGGGAUCGGAUGAUGUUAAUUUUUUAAUGACUCAUUCGGCGCCUUACGGGAAA